ACAACAGAGAACACUCACUCCAUGUUCAGCAUGAAGGAGAACUGCAUGAUCCAGGGAGGUUUAGGGGACCAAGAAGGUGGAUAGGCUCUAACUGGGGCAGGCAGCAGGUGCGGCUGCAGAAAAGCGAAGGACUCCGAGCCCCGUGGUGCCUGCCUAAGAGUGAGCCAAACUCAGAAAGCCUGAGGCCCUUCUAGAUGAAAGGUUCCGGGGCCCUGUGGUGGCUUGUGCACACUGCAGUCUAUCUGCAGGCUCACUUUGGCGUAGGACGGCACCUGGACCCACUGGAUUCCGGCUCCCAUGCUCCCCUCUGGAAGUACAAGUCCUGGGCCAGGCGCAUGUGAACCUCCAUGGUGAAUGCAGCAGCUUCCUCUGCAGAUUCCUAGCGAGGUAGUGGCUGGAUGCCGCGAGAGACAGAUGAACCUCCUGUUUGUCCUCAAGGCGGGUAGUUUCCGUGUAGGAUCUCGCUUGUCCUUACAGGUGCCAUCUGAUCCUUGCUCACAUCCUCAGCUGGCGUUCCUUCCUGACUGCUGGAGUGGCUGACCUGAAGAGACUUCCCACUCAACACUGCAGGCAGAGGGGACAGCCCGGAGAGACUUGCCCGCCAGCUCUCACUUUGCAUAUAAUCUCACUCCUAAAUAAAUCCCUCAGCUCAGGGGUCCCCAAACUUUCUCUGCGUGUGGUGCCCUUAAUUUCUCAGUACUCUCUUCUUAGUGCACCUGGGCCAAAAGAAAUACCAAACAGUUCCAUUAAUUAAGUGGUUAGAUCCAAAUGACGUAGGUAUGUUUGUAAUAGCUGUUUGAAAAGAAAAUAUACAUACAUUGAAAGAAAAAAUAAUAUUUGAUUUUCCUCUUAAAUAAGCAGUGCCGAUGGGAUAUGUGCCUGUUGGACAAGGCCCAACUUCUCCAACCUUGGAAUCAAGUUGGACACUGUUGCCCUCAUUUUCUGUCCCACACCAUUUUACCUCAAAGCAAUCAUUGAAAACCCAGCUUUGGAAAGAUAUGACAACUGUGAAAGGAAUAUACUGCAAUCUGAUGUUCGAACUGUGAACUUCCUCAAUCGAGUAGUUCCCAAGGUGUCCAAGAAGGGUCAGCUAUCAAUGUAUAUCCUCUGAAAACUGGAAAUAUUCCAUGGCACCCCUGUGAACUCACUGUGGCCCCUACAGUUUGAGAACCAUAGCCUUGUCUCAUAUUGCUUCUGAUACACAGAGUGCCAUGCUGAUUUGGGUGUAUUCUUUUCCUGUCUUUGUACUCUCCACAUAUAUUAUAAAAUGUGGACCAGAAGAAUUCUAUAUUUCCCUUUUUUUAAUUUGACAAUGUUAUGAGUGUAUUCCCAUGUCAAUAAAAAUUCUUUUAAAAAUUAUUUAUAUCUGAAUCAUAUACCAAAUUUACCAAUAUCGAAUUUAAUCUUCCUCCAGUCCUUGAAUUUUCCAGCUGUAUUUCAUUUUGCUAUUAUCUGUCAAUAUUCCUUAAAAUGGAUUUCUAGAAGCAGUAUUACCAAAUGAACUUCUUAAACAAUCUUGAUAACUAUUGUUAAAUUGCUUUUCAGAAAUAAUGCACUAAUUUAUAUUCCAAUAAAAAAUACAUGGCAGUGGCUAUUUUGCCACAUUCUUAACUGCACUGGGUAUUUCCAUUAAUAAAAUAAAAUCUCCUCA
rnacentral:lncRNA from 1 species